rnacentral:lncRNA from 1 species
CAAAAGAGUUACAACAUAAAAGCUCACAUCAUACAAAACACAGAUACAAUUGUUUCCCCUCUACACAUAGUAAACAAUUACCAGACUAUAUAAGAGAGAUUGAGAAGAUUUUUUUCUACAAAUCAAGAGAGUUACUACAUCAUAAAAGUUGACACUAUAUAUCCACCUCAUACAUAGAAUUGCUACCCCUCUACAUAGCAAACAAUUAUUAUCAUUUUAUGUUGUCAUCAUACAUAUCCAUGUCUUCUAUCUAGCUCAAUCCAAAGAAGCCUGAAAAAAAGUUUUGGAAUGAAAUUAAUACCACAACAAUAUAUUAAAUUCUACAAUUGUACAACUAUAUUUUUAAAUUUUAUGGCAACUUACUAAAGUUCCCGAUGGUAUAACUUGUAUUCAAACGUGCACAUUCCACUUCCAGGUUAAAUGUUACACUUUAUGUGUUGCGAUACCAAUCAAUCACUCCAUUUGCACGUCUCAGAAAGCUACACGAAACAUGAACUGGUAUGUGCUUAAAUUAAAAGAGUAACAUCAUCCGUUGAUUAUCAUGAAGAAAAAAGGACAGAAAAUGAAAAUACAAACCUUUGAUUAUUAUUCUCCUUCUACAAUACACACAUCUCUCAAAUUGAAA